AGCGAACGCUGGCGGCAGGCCUAACACAUGCAAGUCGAACGAACCUUUCGGGGUUAGUGGCGGACGGUGAGUAACACGUGGGAACGUGCCUUUAGGUUCGGAAUAACUCAGGGAAACUUGUGCUAAUACCGAAUGUGCCCUUCGGGGGAAAGAUUAAUCGCCUUUAGAGCGGCCCGCGUCUGAUUAGCUAGUUGGUUGAGGUAAUGGCUCACCAAGGCGACGAUCAGUAGCUGGUCUGAGAGGAUGAUCAGCCACAUUGGGACUGAGACACGGCCCAAACUCCUACGGGAGGCAGCAGUGGGGAAUCUUGCGCAAUGGGCGAAAGCCUGACGCAGCCAUGCCGCGUGAAUGAUGAAGGUCUUAGGAUUGUAAAAUUCUUUCACCGGGGACGAUAAUGACGGUACCCGGAGAAGAAGCCCCGGCUAACUUCGUG
rnacentral:rRNA from 1 species